rnacentral:rRNA from 1 species
GACGAACGCUGGUGGCGUGCCUAAUACAUGCAAGUCGAACGCUGAAGGAGGAGCUUGCUUCUCUGGAUGAGUUGCGAACGGGUGAGUAACGCGUAGGUAACCUGCCUGGUAGCGGGGGAUAACUAUUGGAAACGAUAGCUAAUACCGCAUAAGAGUAGAUGUUGCAUGACAUUUGCUUAAAAGGUGCAAUUGCAUCACUACCAGAUGGACCUGCGUUGUAUUAGCUAGUUGGUGGGGUAACGGCUCACCAAGGCGACGAUACAUAGCCGACCUGAGAGGGGGAUCGGCCACACUGGGACUGGGACACGGCCCAGACUCCUACGGGAGGCAGCAGUAGGGAAUCUUCGGCAAUGGACGGAAGUCUGACCGAGCAACGCCGCGUGAGUGAAGAAGGUUUUCGGAUCGUAAAGCUCUGUUGUAAGAGAAGAACGAGUGUGAGAGUGGAAAGUUCACACUGUGACGGUAUCUUACCAGAAAGGGACGGCUAACUACGUG